UGAUUAAGCCAUGCGAGUCGAACGAGUUUAGGCUCGUGGCGUACGGCUCAGUAACACGUGGAUAAUCUACCCUUAGGACCGGGAUAACCCUGGGAAACUGGGGAUAAUACUGGAUAGGCAAUUUUUCCUGUAAUGGUUUUUUGUUUAAAUGUUUUUUCGCCUAAGGAUGAGUCUGCGGCCGAUUAGGUAGUUGGUUAGGUAAUGGCUUACCAAGCCGUUGAUCGGUACGGGUUGUGAGAGCAAGAGCCCGGAGAUGGAACCUGAGACAAGGUUCCAGGCCCUACGGGGUGCAGCAGGCGCGAAACCUCCGCAAUGUGAGAAAUCGCGACGGGGGGAUCCCAAGUGCCAUUCUUAACGGGAUGGCUUUUCAUUAGUGUAAAGAGCUUUUGGAAUAAGAGCUGGGCAAGACCGGUGCCAGCCGCCGCGGUAACACCGGCAGCUCUAGUGGUAACAAUUUUUAUUGGGCCUAAAGCGUCCGUAGCCGGUUUAAUAAGUCUCUGGUGAAAUCCUGCAGCUUAACUGUGGGAAUUGCUGGAGAUACUAUUAGACUUGAGACCGGGAGAGGUUAGAGGUACUCCCAGAGUAGAGGUGAAAUUCUGUAAUCCUGGGAGGACCGCCUGUUGCGAAGGCGUCUAACUGGAACGGUUCUGACGGUGAGGGACGAAAGUUAGGGGCGCGAACCGGAUUAGAUACCCGGGUAGUCCUAACUGUAAACGAUGCGGACUUGGUGUUGGGGUGGCUUUGAGCUGCUUCAGUGCCGAAGGGAAGCUGUUAAGUCCGCCGCCUGGGAAGUACGGUCGCAAGACUGAAACUUAAAGGAAUCGGCGGGGGAGCA
rnacentral:rRNA from 1 species